UACGUAGGUGGCAAGCGUUGUCCGGAAUUACUGGGUGUAAAGCGCGUGUAGGCGGCAGACCAAGUCGGCGGUGAAAGCGCCCGGCUCAACUGGGCGAGGUCCGUGGAAACUGGUCAGCUGGAGGACGGUAGAGGCGAGUGGAAUUCCCGGUGUAGUGGUGAAAUGCGUAGAGAUCGGGAGGAACACCAGUGGCGAAGGCGGCUCGCUGGGCCGGUCCUGACACUGAGGCGCGAAGGCGUGGGGAGCGAACGGG
rnacentral:rRNA from 1 species